AGAAAACCCUAUCAACCCCAACGUUAACCUUACACCAGAACAUUCCAGGAAAGAUUAAAAAAGAGAGAAGGAACUCGGCAAAUUUUAGCCCCGCCUGUUUACCAAAAACAUCGCCUCUUGACAUAAUAUAAGAGGCCCAGCCUGCCCGGUGACAAAGUUUAACGGCUACGGUACCCUGACCGUACGAAGGUAGCAUAAUCACUUGUUCCUUAAAUAGGGACUCGUAUCAACGGCAUCACGAGGGCUGCACUGUCUCCUCCCUUCAAUCAGUGAAACUGAUCCCCCCGUGAAGAAGCGGGGAUUAAACUAUAAGACGAGAAGACCCCAUGGAGCUUUAAACAACGUGCUCACACUAUACUUAUACACCCACUAACUAAAAGCCCUGAGCACAAGUUUUAGGUUGGGGAGACCGCGGAGAACAACUAAACCUCCACGACAAACGGCCCUAAAGUCCUUAUCCACGAGUCACAGCUCUAAGAAUCAACACACUGAUGAUUAUGACCCGACACUAUUC
rnacentral:rRNA from 1 species